UUAGGGAUCUUCCACAAUGGGCGGAAGCCUGAUGGAGCGACACUGCGUGAAGGAAGAAGGCCUUCGGGUUGUAAACUUCUGAACCUGUGACGAUAGUGACGGUAGCAGGGAAAAAGCACCGGCUAACUCCGUGCCAGCAGCCGCGGUAAUACGGAGGGUGCGAGCGUUAUCCGGAAUCACUGGGCGUAAAGGGCGCGUAGGCGGUCUGUUAAGUUCGAUGUUAAAGAGCGGGGCUCAACCCCGUCACGGCGUUGGAUACUGGCAGGCUAGACAUCUGGAGAGGGAAGUGGAAUUACCAGAGUAGCGGUGGAAUGCGUAGAUACUGGUAGGAACACCCAUGGCGAAGGCAGCUUCCUGGACAGAGAGUGACGCUGAGGCGCGAAAGUGUGGGGAGCGAACCGGAUUAGAUACCCGGGUAGUCCACACCCUAAACGAUGCAUACUUGGUGUUGGCGGGGUGCCGUCAGCGCCGGAGCGAACGUGUUAAGUAUGCCGCCUGGGAGA
rnacentral:rRNA from 1 species